rnacentral:tRNA from 1 species
UGGCUCAGUUGGUAGAGCAUGGUGUUUGCAAUGCCAGGGUUGUGGAUUCAAUUCCCAC